rfam:Oryza barthii chromosome 7, whole genome shotgun sequence.
CAUAAGUGCAACCAUAAGUUUUCAUGUCCAACUUUGAUCGUUCGUCUUAUCUAAAAUUUUUUUAUAAUUAGUAUUUUUAUUGUUAUGAGAUGAUAAAAUAUGAAUUGUACUUUACUCGUGACUUAUGUUUUUAAAUUUUUUUCAAAAUUUUUUCAAAUAAGACGGACGGUUAAAGUUGGGCGCGAAAAACCAUGGCUACACUUAUA